AUACUCAUUAUAUCAACUGCCUUGAACACGGCCAUGCUGCUGCAUGUGCAAAGAUCUCAGAAUUUCUUAGAAAAAGCUUGCAGACACAGUUCCAAGGUGACCUUUCAAAAGGUACGUGGACAAUUCUUGCCUGGCCAAGAAAAGUGCAACAUCUUGGGGCAUAUUUUGCUGCAACAGCUUCCAACGUGCAGGUGUGGAGCCUCAUCUGGACUAUAAUUGCAACA
rnacentral:lncRNA from 1 species